GCCUCGGCGAUGUAGUGGUAGUAGCACGCGUCCCCGGUAUGGAUAAAUCGCGGGUUCGAUUCCCGCUUGAUACC